rnacentral:lncRNA from 1 species
CAGUGGACUCGGGUUAUAAUUACCAACAGAGGAGAGAAUAACUAUAAGUUAUUUUGAUGUAAAAAGCAUAUUAUCCUAAGCCAACAUAAUAACACAGUUUUUAUGAAGCACAAUAAUUACUUUGAAGACUCACAGAAGUGCAUUUUUCUAAAAGAAGGAGAUUCUCAUACAGAAACAGAUUAACAGAAACAGAAACAGCAACACUAGAGAACAGCAAAAUAGUAACAUUUCAAAUAGUAACAUUUCAAGAAAAUAUAUACACCUUCACAGUAUGUGGUGGUAUCCACUUACUGUCUACUGCCUCCAUAACUCCUAAAGUCUUCUGAAGAUUUAUUAAUGCUUUGAAUAUAUGAGCCACCGUUUCUUUUCACAGCCUUUUCACAACUGGGAAUUCUUUAGAGAAAGGCAAUCUUACCUCAUUUACUUACUUCAUCAGUAAUGCCAUUACUAUGCCUACCUAAGAAGAAAAUAUAUCAUGUGGCAGAGGACUAGAAAGAAAAAACAACAACAAAAGGCUGUGAAGAUUUGAUCAUAUGCCUACGUGUGUGGUGAAUACAAUAUUUCUUUAAUCGCAAUCAGGAAUAUAAAUCUUAUUUUGAUGCUAUGACAUAAUAAAGUGCAUUAUUUUCCUGAAA